AUUGAACGCUGGCGGCAUGCUUUACACAUGCAAGUCGAACGGUAACAGGCCGCAAGGUGCUGACGAGUGGCGAACGGGUGAGUAAUGCAUCGGAACGUGCCCAGUCUGGGGGAUAACGCAGCGAAAGUUGCGCUAAUACCGCAUACGAUCUAUGGAUGAAAGCGGGGGACCGAAAGGCCUCGCGCGAUUGGAGCGGCCGAUGUCAGAUUAGGUAGUUGGUGGGGUAAAGGCUCACCAAGCCAACGAUCUGUAGCUGGUCUGAGAGGACGACCAGCCACACUGGGACUGAGACACGGCCCAGACUCCUACGGGAGGCAGCAGUGGGGAAUUUUGGACAAUGGGCGCAAGCCUGAUCCAGCAAUGCCGCGUGCAGGAAGAAGGCCUUCGGGUUGUAAACUGCUUUUGUACGGAACGAAACGGUUCUCUCUAAUACAGGGAGCUAAUGACGGUACCGUAAGAAUAAGCACCGGCUAACUACGUG
rnacentral:rRNA from 1 species